AGAGAGUUUAUUAAAAUUUUUGGAUUGUUGUAUUUUGUGAGUGAAUUCUUAGUUAAAUUAAUUGAUACCUAUGUCAGAUAUACAGCUUAUCUUCUCUACCAAAGCUCUUAACAAAACUGUUCAUAAAUCAACUUAAGGACUAAAUGUUUAAAAUAAUGAAUUCUUGGCAUCAUUUCAAAUGGUAGUAGCACCAAAUAUGUUAAAGAUGUUAAUACACUGCUCAGCUACAACAUUAAAACCACUGACAGGUGAAGUGAAAAACAUUGAUUAUAUUGGUACAAUGGCACCUGUCAAGGGUUGGGAUUUAUUAGGCAGCAAGUGAAGUCAGUUCUUAUAUUUCAUAUGUUGGAAACGGGAAAAAUGGUCAAGCUAAACGAGUAUUGACUUCGACAUAGGGCCAAUAGUGAUGGUUAGAUAACUAGAUCAGAGCAUCUCCAAAAGACUUGUGGGGUGUUCUCGGUAUGCAGUGGUAAGUACCUACCAAAAGUGGUGCAAGGAAGGACAACCAGUGAACCGGCAUAAGGCUCAUGAGCGCCCAAAGUUUAUUGAUCCACAUGGGGAGCAAAGGCUAGCCCACACAGAAACGCUAGCUCGAUUUGCAUAAAAAACCCUAAUGCUGGCCAUGAUAGAAAGGUAUCAGAAGACACAGUUUGCUUUGUAUGGAGCUGGAUAGCUGCAAACCAUCAGACAUGUGCAAUUCGUUUCGGUCCGAAUAUGAAUUCGGACAAAUUUCGUGCAAUUCGGACACUCGGGUACUUCCGAAUGUCUGAAUAGCCGAAGUUCCGAAGUGCCGAAUUGCCGAAGUCCCGAAUUUCGGAAUGCCGAACCAAACCGAAAAUGUUUCCCAUGCACAUGCCUACAAACCAUUCAGAGUGCCCAUGAUGACCCCUGUCCACUACUGAAAGCACUUUUUAAUGGGAAUGUGAGCAUUAGAACUGGACCAUGGAACAAUGUAAGACUGUUAUAUAGGGGUGUAUAUAAAAAAUACCCCUCUCUGUCUCAUUAGAGAUAUCUUUGCCAGAAGCUCAAGGAAGCAAGGUGAAAGGUCAGUGUAGGACCCACCUGAGGGGGUUUACCUUGACGGGGCAGGUGGGCAUUCCCCCCAAUGGCCAUUAGAGUAACUAAAUAACCUCCAUUUGUUUAAAUAUACUUAAGGAUUUAGGAGAGAGCGCAGGUAACUUUUUCUUUGGUUUUUAAUGUAAGACUGUUGCCUGGUCUGAUGGAUUACAUUUUCUUAUAAAUCAGGUGGUGGCUGAGUGCAUGUGCAUUGUUUACCUGGGGUAGAAUGGGAGCAAGAUGCACUAUGGGAAAAUGGCAGUUUGCUUGGCCUCCAAAUUCCACAGAGCUCAAUCUGAUUAAGUAUCUGUAGGAUAUGCUGGAACAGUAAAUCCAAUCCAUAGGGACCCUACUUUGCAAACUGCAGGACUUGGAGGAUUUGCUGCUAAUGUUUUGGGGCCACAUAUCACAGGACAAAGCCAGAUAUCUUGGGAAGUCUAUGCUUUGACAAAU